AUUGAACGCUGGCGGCAGGCCUAACACAUGCAAGUCGAGCGGAUGAAGGGAGCUUGCUCCUGGAUUCAGCGGCGGACGGGUGAGUAAUGCCUAGGAAUCUGCCUGGUAGUGGGGGAUAACGUCCGGAAACGGGCGCUAAUACCGCAUACGUCCUGAGGGAGAAAGUGGGGGAUCUUCGGACCUCACGCUAUCAGAUGAGCCUAGGUCGGAUUAGCUAGUUGGUGGGGUAAAGGCCUACCAAGGCGACGAUCCGUAACUGGUCUGAGAGGAUGAUCAGUCACACUGGAACUGAGACACGGUCCAGACUCCUACGGGAGGCAGCAGUGGGGAAUAUUAGACAAUGGGCGAAAGCCUGAUCCAGCCAUGCCGCGUGUGUGAAGAAGGUCUUCGGAUUGUAAAGCACUUUAAGUUGGGAGGAAGAGCAGUAAGUUAAUACCUUGCUGUUGUGACGUUACCAACAGAAUAAGCACCGGCUAACUUCGUG
rnacentral:rRNA from 1 species